CCUGUGUGCUGCCUUGGGCCAACAGCCCUGCCCGAAGAAAACUUCGCCUGCGGCGCUGGUUUCCUGGAGGAACAUCCUGAUUGGGCAAGGAUGAAAUGACAUAGACCAGGGCUCAGCAAGGAAUCGGGGAGGCAGGAAGAAGAGCCCAGUCUGUGACUGCCUGUGUGGCCUUGAAGGAGAAAACCAAGGCCCAGAAAGGGGAGUGACUGACCCACCAUCACACAGCUGUUGGAAUUCUGGGGAAGAGAGCCAUCAUUUCUCCCCACUGAGCUCUGUGCCAAAAGUGUCACAUACGUUGUCAGUUUGGAACUACAGAUAUCCUCAUUUUCUGGAUGGGGAAACUGAAGCUCAGAGGGAUGAUGGGACCUUUCCAAGGUCACAUGGCUGGUCUUUUGCUACAGGUAGGGCGAGGUGGUGCUGUUCUUUACUUUCCACUUGCCCCCCACCCCCGAAGGAAUGAUGCCUGCUUAUCCUGGAGCCUCCAGCACCCAGCUAGGACCUGGCACACUGGGGUCAUGGAAUGAAUGAAUGAUACAGCUAGUACUCGAGGAGUUCCAGGUUCACCUCCCACCCCUUCAUCACCAGCCCUUGGACCUCUAGGCCAACUCCUUGUCCCUGUCCUUUGAUGACUCACAGGCCCCAGCCAGGUGACCUCUCACCUCUGCUCAUGACCCCAGAUGACCCUGGGGACUUCUGGUUGGGGACCAUAUCCAUCAUUCCCCAGUGGUCUGUCCCAGCCCUGGCUCCCCCCAUCCAUCUUCCCACCACAACCACAGGGAAGGGGGCAGUGGUGGGAUGGAGGGGGAAGGUCCCAUUCCUAGAAACACUUGGCCCCACCAAAGUCCUCACCCAUUUUUAGGACCAUUUGGGACCAUUUUAGGACAGCCACUCCCCACUUUUAGGACCAUUUGGUCAAAUACCUUGGAGCCCAACAUAUGACAGCUAAAGGCAGAGGGCUCUGGCUCCCUACUUGCCUCCCAGCAGCCUCCAGCGUCGAGACCCCCAGAGACCCUCCAGAAAACCAUGGAGAAAAACUACCCUGGGCACCAGGAGACUUGGGUUUGAAUUCCUGCUCAGCCAUUGGCUCGUUGUGUGACCUGGAGCAAGUCCCUUCCCUUCUCUGGACUUCACUUUCCCAUCGGCCACAUGAGAGGGCGGAACACAAUGGUUUUCAAACCUUUAUUGUUGGAACAGUGGAAAGCUUUUUUUUUUUUUUUUAAUUAAAUCAUGCACUGAGCACCGAGAUGAAAAA